UUCGUCUGCUGGGCGCUCAUUGCCCUAUCUUUGCAAUAUUUAGCUUUGCGCUCACUCAGCCGAGCGCCAAAUGUUGCUGCUGUUGGCAUAUUACUGUGAUUUCUCCGCAAUGCGCAGAGUGCGCGCUCUUUUUUCGAAUGCUCCACGCCAGUGUCAGUUAAAUGUAACGUCGUUUACGCGAAUUCAAAAUUUUGAAAAUUUUCGUUACAACUACAAAAUUUGUAGGCUCUCCGCUGGCAGCACACAACCGGCUGGGAAAUAUCAUUUAGCCUUUUGUUGGCGCUUUGUUGGCUGUGUGUGUGUGUAAAUGGUUGUUGUGUGUUGUUUAGUUGUGGGGACUGUUAAGUUUGUGAGUAGUGCGCGCUUUUUGGUGCUGGUGUUGCUGGGGCUGUGUACGUAGGAUUUCGAAUUGAAUUUUUGCGCGCAGCCAACAAACAAGUGGCGGUUAUUUUUCGAAUUGACUCACGUCUGCGCGCUAUGGCGUUGCGGUGAAAUACUUUUGAGAGCGUAUAUAAGUAGCCAAUCGGUAUUGCCUACGUGCUUGAGAUCGCGCCUGAAAGCUGUUCUGGCUUCGAAAAAAAAGUCUGCUCAUAACAGUAUCAAAUAUGAUGAAAUAGUCCAUGAACCAUACUGAACUGUAAUGGGAACCCCACACUACCACAGUACCCACCUCUAACCAGCCCCACAUCUAACCUAAAGUAAGAUUGUGAAAUACCGCAAAACGAUUGCAUUCAGCCAUGGAAUCAUUUGCAGCAGUAGAAUUUUCAAUAAACUCUUUGUUGCCUACACUGAAAAGCAAGUAACAGAUAUACAGAACCUUAUACUAUAAUUUAAUAAAUGAUUUUAUUAUUCAAUUGUAGAAGAGUACCGUAUAUAAGUUCACAUAGUUUGUGCUGCUUGUGGCCUAUAAAAAAAUUGCACUUAAGUAUUUUUUAUUGUUUGUGGCAGCAAUUGUUGUUGUGGAUAAUUGUUAUUGAAGCCUAUACAUAUAUGACAGCAGCUGUGAAAUGGCGAAUAUCAUACAAUAAUAUAUUUUUUUCGUACCCAAUUGUUGCUUACUCUCACACCCUUUUAAAUGAAGUACUCGAGUGCUUAUGUAUGUUUGUAUAAAUGCUACGAACAGCAGCUGAAACACAGCUAUAGCUGAAAUUGUUGAAACAUACGCACUACGCACGCGCAACUGUACAAGAUUUUCGAGUGAUACAGCAAGCGCAUGAGAGUGUGUGAGAGGAAAUACCAAUAGUGAUGCUAAAGAAUUGAUGUGUAAAGGCGUAGGUAACUGCAAUUGUACCUUCAAUUAAUUUGUGUUUAAUACAAAUAUUUAAUGUAUUAUGAAAGUGGGUUGAAAAUUAUUUUUUAAAAAUCUUCUUGUAAGGUAUUCAAUAAAGGAGUCUUAGAGGUUUUUAAAAUUUGGUAUUUUUUAUAAAAUUUCUGCGCUAAUCGAAAUAUUACUAGACAUUACGAAUGGUAUUUUUAUUUAGUUUAUAUAGAACAUUUUUUUUAUUAAAAUGCCCUUAAA